rnacentral:lncRNA from 1 species
AUGGCUAUCCCCGCCGUAUGUUCUUAUACGGGCGAAGGGCGAGGCAGAGGGAUGCAAUGGUGGGGAAUCCUGACAGUCCUGAACCUAGCCAUGUGCUUAGACGAGGGAACGAGUCCCGAGGCGCCUCCGGGGGAGCAUCCCCUGGGGAAGUGUGAGCAGUGCCGGACUGCCAUAGUAACCGAGCGAAUGAUCAACUGUCCUCUGGAACUACAAGCUGGGUUAUGCUGGUCGAAUGGCACCCAGUUUAGUCUGUGUAAAUUGAAGGGGGAGGUUUGGUGUUCCCGCCCAGGGGCAAGUGUUGAGGAAGGGCAGUUUCAAACUUUGGAAGAACAAAAGACCCAAACGACCCACUUCAAAAACAAAAGGGAGGUGGGGGGAGUCCCUCCGAUCUCAGUCUGCGGACAAUGUAAUAAAACUGUCUGGAUUAGAGGUAAAAGGCAAUCAACUUUUAUAGCUUACUACAAAGUCAACCCUCUAUGUUACAAUAAAGCGAGCUUGAAAACAUGUACUAUAAGUGGGAAAAUGUAUUGGGAGGGGAGAAAUUUGAAACAUGAAACAAAGGCUUCCUUCAAUAAUGAGCCUAUAAUCCUGGAUUUGUUGAAAAGUGAUGACGAUCGGGUGUGUUUACAAUUCGACCAGGUAUUCUGUUUUUCUAGAGAUGAGGAAAGGUUAGAUCCAAAAAACAAAAUAAAACAACUAACCCUAGAAUUAAAAAGACGAAAAAUGGAAAAUAAAAGAAAAAGGCUAGAACAAGAGAGGCUAAACUCUCUCAGUGAACAUUACGAACAGUUGGAAAAACAAUAUAAUAGCUGGGGAUUACCCAGCCCCAACCAAAACUUAUUCAUAGACCUGAUGCAGGAGAUUGCCACAGAAUUAGGUCUAUCAAACUGUUGGAUAUGUGGUGGCUUGAAAUCGGCCGAAAGAUGGCCAUGGAAGGGAGAAGGAUUAACCCCAGAACAAUUACUAAAAUGGAAAAGACUAAAGUUAUCCAGAACUACACGAAGACCUGAGAGAUGGGUAAUAGAUCAAAGAAUAAUUAGAACUUUCUGCAUUAGCAGGGAAGGAAAAGAAUUUACUGAUUUGGUGGGUUACACCCCGUGUGUAAACACUCUCACGGUAAAUUCAGAUAGCAAAACAAAGGUCUGGCAACCGGAACCACCCGAAGGUUAUUAG